UACGUAGGGCGCAAGCGUUGUCCGGAAUUAUUGGGCGUAAAGAGCUCGUAGGCGGCUUGUCACGUCGGGUGUGAAAGCCCGGGGCUUAACCCCGGGUCUGCAUUCGAUACGGGCUAGCUAGAGUGUGGUAGGGGAGAUCGGAAUUCCUGGUGUAGCGGUGAAAUGCGCAGAUAUCAGGAGGAACACCGGUGGCGAAGGCGGGUCUCUGGGCCGAUACUGACGCUGAGGAGCAAAAGCGUGGGGAGCGAACAGG
rnacentral:rRNA from 1 species